CCCUUGAGAUACUACCUCUGUUGUAUGAACGUUCUAACUCUGAUCAGUUAUCCUGAUCGAAGACAGUGUCUGGCAGGCAGUUUGACUGGGGCGGUCGCCUCCUAAAAGAUAACGGAGGCGCUCAAAGGUUUGCUCAGAAUGGUUGGAAAUCAUUCGUAGCGUGUAAAGGCAUAAGCAAGCUUGACUGUGAGACUGACAAGUCGAGCAGGUACGAAAGUAGGACUUAGUGAUCCGGUGGUUCCGUAUGGAAGGGCCAUCGCUCAACGGACAAAAGCUACCCCGGGGAUAACAGGCUCAUCUCCCCCAAGAGUCCACAUCGACGGGGAGGUUUGGCACCUCGAUGUCGGCUCAUCGCAUCCUGGGGCUGUAGUCGGUCCCAAGGGUUGGGCUGUUCGCCCAUUAAAGCGGUACGCGAGCUGGGUUCAGAACGUCGUGAGACAGUUCGGUCCCUAUCCGUCGUGGGCGCAGGAAAUUUGAGAGGAUCUGUCCUUAGUACGAGAGGACCGGGAUGGACAUACCUCUGGUGUACCAGUUGUUCUGCCAAGAGCACCGCUGGGUAGCUACGUAUGGAUUAGAUAAUCGCUGAAAGCAUCUAAGUGAGAAACUAACCUCGAGAUGAGAUUUCCCAUUCGUCAGAAGUAAGACCCCUGAGAGACGAUCAGGUAGAUAGGCUAGAAGUGGAAGUGUAGUGAUGCAUGGAGCGGACUAGUACUAAUAGGUCGAGGACUUAACCAAG
rnacentral:rRNA from 1 species